rnacentral:rRNA from 1 species
UACGAAGGGGGCUAGCGUUGCUCGGAAUCACUGGGCGUAAAGCGCACGUAGGUGGGUCGUUAAGUCGGGGGUGAAAUCCUGGAGCUCAACUCCAGAACUGCCUUCGAUACUGGCGAUCUUCGAGUCCGGGAGAGGUGAGUGGAACUGCGAGUGUAGAGGUGAAAUUCGUAGAUAUUCGCAGGAACACCAGUGGCGAAGGCGGCUUACUGGUCCAUAACUGACGCUGAGGUGCGAAAGCGUGGGGAGCAAACAGG